rnacentral:tRNA from 1 species
GGAGGCGAAAAGGGUCCGGUGAUCCUCCCGGCCUUCAAAGUCGGCGAUUCCGUCCCUUGCGGGCGGGAUGGUGGGUUCGACUCCCACACGCUUCCGCCA